rnacentral:lncRNA from 1 species
CGUGUUUCUGCUAAAUUAAAAAUUUGCACCGCUUCAAACAUUAAAUAAAUGUAUCUACUUAUAUAUAGACCAUUAUUAGUCUAAUAAAAUAUGCUUCUAGGACAAUCGGAUCCAUCAUUGCUUUUUCUUUUGAGAGCCUUAUUAACAUGCCAAUGCCGUGUAGGAUAUGAAUCUUGUUUAAAUGACUAAGACCGACUAAGGCUAAUUUGAGGGGUGGUCGGAGGGGUCCAGAGUCCGAAAUCCCGGUCUUAAAAACAUG